UACGAAGGGGGCUAGCGUUGUUCGGAUUUACUGGGCGUAAAGCGCACGUAGGCGGAUCGUUAAGUUGGGGGUGAAAUCCCAGGGCUCAACCCUGGAACUGCCUUCAAUACUGGCGAUCUAGAGUCCGGAAGAGGUGAGUGGAACUCCUAGUGUAGAGGUGGAAUUCGUAGAUAUUAGGAAGAACACCAGUGGCGAAGGCGGCUCACUGGUCCGGUACUGACGCUGAGGCACGAAAGCGUGGGGAGCAAACAGG
rnacentral:rRNA from 1 species